rnacentral:rRNA from 1 species
AUGCAGAGGGUGCGAGCGUUAAUCGGAUUUACUGGGCGUAAAGCGUGCGUAGGCGGCUUUUUAAGUCGGAUGUGAAAUCCCUGAGCUUAACUUAGGAAUUGCAUUCGAUACUGGGAAGCUAGAGUAUGGGAGAGGAUGGUAGAAUUCCAGGUGUAGCGGCGAAAUGCGUAGAGAUCUGGAGGAAUACCGAUGGCGAAGGCAGCCAUCUGGCCUAAUACUGACGCUGAGGUACGAAAGCAUGGGGAGCAAACAGGAUUAGAUACCCUGGUAGUCCAUGCCGUAAACGAUGUCUACUAGCCGUUGGGGCCUUUGAGGCUUUAGUGGCGCAGCUAACGCGAUAAGUAGACCGCCUGGGGAGUACGGCCGCAAGGUUGAA